AGUGGAGACAAUCUGCGUAGUUUAAUCAGAUACAGAGCGUGAUCCUAAAACAUUGGCAUCUAGUUUCGGGGAUAGAAGGUUGCAAUAACCCCACCCCCUCUUUGCUUAUAGGAGGACUAGGAAUUUAGGUAGCUUUUUGACAAGGGCGGACUCCCUGGAGAAAGGAGAUCAGAACACAGGAUUAAGAGGCUUUUAUCCGUGUGGGAGAUGUUCAGUUUGUGCACAAGCGGAAAGCACGAUUAGUGUGAUAGAUCCUAACACAGGGAGUAAAAGGAACUUGGACUUUUUUGCCACGUGUGAUACCAAGAGAGUAGUAUAUGCGCUUAAAUGUGCAUGCCCCAAACUGUAUAUAGGUAAGAGUAUACGUAAAGUGAGAUCUAGAAUCUUGGAACAUAAAUCUAGAGUGAGGACAUGUCAUAGCAAGUCACCCAUAGUAGCCCAUUUUUUAGAAAAGGGACAUACAUGUGAUGAAUUCAAAUUUUUUAUCCUUUUUAAAUACACACCGCGAAGAUUCAGUUAUGAAGAUAUGAAUACUACAUUAUUAAGGAAAGAGGCGUUCUUCAUACACUUGUUUCAGACUUAUGUUGGAGGUCUUCAUACCAAUCAAGAUCUUUCGUGUUUUUUUGGGAGAACAUUAGGAAAGAGAGGAAUGCACACAGUUACUUUGGAAUAUCUAUGGAUGCUGUUAUCAUGAGUUUUACGGAAUCAGGAGAGAAAGAAGAAGCUACCUGAUUAAUUUGGUAAAAGGACGCAGCUGUGGGUCAUUAAAACUUAGCGUGCUUAAUUGGGGAUCAGUUUAAAAAGAAAGAGUGAGCGCAGAGAUUCUAAGCAUGUCUCUACAGGCGUAUUAGUCUAAACACCAUGGUAAGAUAAAGCCGGUAACAGAAUGUAAGCAUACAUUGCUUAUACUGUACUUAAAAUGGUUUAAAUGAGGAAGUAACAAUUAGUUAUGAAACAGAUUAAUAUCUGGAAAAUCUGAAUAUUGCAUAUCGUUUGCUGUACUGCACAUGUAUUUGGCUUUGAAAGCGUAAGAUUAAACUACACAGAUUGUCUCCACUUGGAUUAUAUGGAGAAGGAGACGUAUCAUCAGAUUACUGAAUUAAGAAGAGAAACAUCCUCCCCACUGGAUUCCAUGGAAUCUGCACUUCUACUGUGAACCAAUACAUCUACGGGAUAAGAACUGUUUAUCCCUGUAUGGGAAGUUGUAACAUACAUCUGGGGGAAUACUUCUUGUUAUAUAUGUUUAUGUACUUUGUCAUAUCCAGCAUGUAAGCCACUUUGGCUCUGAUAUGUUUAUCAGAUAAAUUUAUUGUGGAAGUUAA